UACGUAGGGCGCAAGCGUUGUCCGGAAUUAUUGGGCGUAAAGAGCUCGUAGGUGGUUUGUUACGUCUGCUGUGAAAACCUAGGGCUUAACCCUGGGCCUGCAGUGGAUACGGGCAGACUAGAGGUAGGUAGGGGAGAAUGGAAUUCCCGGUGUAGCGGUGAAAUGCGCAGAUAUCAGGAGGAACACCUGUGGCGAAAGCGGCUCACUGGACCAUAACUGACGCUGAUGCACGAAAGCUAGGGGAGCAAACAGG
rnacentral:rRNA from 1 species